rnacentral:sRNA from 1 species
UAUUUAUGUACCUCUUGCACACUCAUCAACCUAUGCAAGUCCCCCACCCCGGCCCUCCAUGUUUCUGUGCCUUUGCUCAUCCCCUCAAUCUCCCAGGGCUUCUCCAGUCCCCUCCCACUAGCUGCAGGAAGUGGGAUGGACGGGCCACCUCGCUUGGAAUCAGCAGGGUGUCCCUCUCAUGGGACCCUCCCCUCUCCCCAGCCUGUCCUGUCUUGUUCACUCUCCAUCAGGGUGAGCUGACUGUGCCUGGCACUGGGAGGUGGUGAGGGACACCGUCUCACACACACAGGGAGGCAAGAGCUGCCCCCCACCCCACCUGACAGCAGAGUGUGCAGGACGCAGGCGGCCCCACUCUGAUGGGCAGGACCCUGACCCUCUCCUGCUCCAGCCUCCUCCCCAGGCCCUCCUCCAUGAUUUCGCCCUCCCUACCCACUUCUGUCCCCGGCCCCACUGGCAGAAUCAGCUUUGAGUAACUGUACAGUUUUUCUCGCUGUUGGAGAAGACUUAUUUGUUGGAGUUUCACUUGUUUAAUGGUCUGGGCUUAUUUUGGAAAAAAAAAAAAAAAAAAAAAAAACG